CAUUAGAUACCUGGUAGUCCACGCUGUAAACGAUGUCGAUUUGGAGUUUGUUGCCUAGGUGAUGGGCUCCGAAGCUAACGCGAUAAAUCGACCGCCUGGGGAGUACGGCCGCAAGGUUAAAACUCAAAUGAAUGACGGGGCCCGCACAAGCGGUGGAGCAUGUGUUAAUUCGAUGCAACGCGAAGAACCUUACCUGGUCUUGACAUCCGUAGAAUUCUGCAGAGAUGUGGGAGUGCCUUCGGGAACUAUGAGACAGGUGCUGCAUGGCUGUCGUCAGCUCGUGUUGUGAAAUGUUGGGUUAAGUCCCGCAACGAGCGCAACCCUUAUUCUUUGUUGCCAGCGAUUUGGUCGGGAACUCAAAGGAGACUGCCGUUGAUAAAGCGGAGGAAGGUGGGGACGACGUCAAGUCAUCAUGGCCCCUACGACCAGGGCUACACACGUGCUACAAUGGCGUAUACAAAGGGAAGCGAAGGUGCGAGCUGGAGCGGAUCUCAUAAAGUACGUCUAAGUUCGGAUUGGAGUCUGCAACUCGACUCCAUGAAGUCGGAAUCGCUAGUAAUCGUAGAUCAGAAUGCUACGGUGAAUACGUUCCCGGGCCUUGUACACACCGCCCGUCACACCAUGGGAGUGGGUUGCACCAGAAGUAGAUAGCUUAACCGCGAGGGGGGCGUUUACCACGGUGUGAUUCAUGACUGGGGUGAAGUCGUAACAAGGUAACCA
rnacentral:rRNA from 1 species